ACCUCCGUGGCGCAAUGGAUNAGCGCGUUGGACUUCUAAUUCAAAGGUUGUGGGUUCGAGUCCCACCGGAGGUA
rnacentral:tRNA from 1 species